GGGGUUGACUGGUUUUGACAGCUUGUAGAAUGGUCAUGUAAGCAUGUCGAGCCUCGCAGUGACGCUCGCAAAUCUUGACUGCAAAAAAUUAAUUGGCGAAUACAAUUACGCUCUCGCUGCUUAAUCGAAGUACAGUAGAUGUAGCUUAAUUCUCUCACAAGGUGGGGGAACGAGACAUCUCGCGGAUGGAUGUUCCCGAUUCCGGUCCGGUAACGAGGUGCUCAGCAAUUUUGGGAUAGCAACAUGAUUUCUUCGCUCAUGUCGCGAAAAAUUAGAAGAUAAGGUCGGGCUUAGGGCGUCUGUCCCCUUGCUCUUCACGAAAACCAAUGGCAGAAUAAGCAUGUAGAAAGCAUGGUUGUUCCUUGUUUGGACGAGGGUUCGACUCCCUCCAGCUCCACA
rnacentral:tmRNA from 1 species